rnacentral:rRNA from 1 species
GUGGGGAAUAUUGGGCAAUGGGUGAAAGCCUGACCCAGCAACGCCGCGUGAGGGAAGAAGGUUUUCGGAUCGUAAACCUCUGUCCUUAGUGAAGAGAAAGAGACGGUAGCUAAGGAGGAAGCCCCGGCUAACUACGUGCCAGCAGCCGCGGUAAUACGUAGGGGGCGAGCGUUGUCCGGAAUGAUUGGGCGUAAAGGGCGCGUAGGCGGCCUGUUAAGUCCGGAGUGACAUUCCUGCUUUCAAGGUAGGAAGUGCUUUGGAAACUGGCGGGCUGGAGUGCAGGAGAGGUUAGCGGAAUUCCCGGUGUAGCGGUGAAAUGCGUAGAGAUCGGGAGGAACACCAGUGGCGAAGGCGGCUAACUGGACUGUAACUGACGCUGAGGCGCGAAAGUGUGGGGAGCAAACAGGAUUAGAAACCCGGGUAGUCC